rnacentral:rRNA from 1 species
CAGAAUAUCAGAAGGAACCACCCGAUGGCGAAAGGCAGAUCUUUUGGCCNGUAACUGACCGUNAGGAGCGAAAGCGUGGGGAGCGAACAGGAUUAGAUACCCUUGGUAGUCCACGCCGUAAACGUUGGGCGCUAGAUGUAGGACCUUUCCACGGUUUCUGUGUCGUAGCUAACGCAUUAAGCGCCCCGCCUGGGGAGUACGGCCGCAAGGCUAAAACUCAAAGGAAUUGACGGGGGCCCGCACAAGCGGCGGAGCAUGCGGAUUAAUUCGAUGCAACGCGAAGAACCUUACCAAGGCUUGACAUACACCGGAAACGGCCAGAGAUGGUCGCCCCCUUGUGGUCGGUGUACAGGUGGUGCAUGGUUGUCGUCAGCUCGUGUCGUGAGAUGUUGGGUUAAGUCCCGCAACGAGCGCAACCCUCGUUCUAUGUUGCCAGCGCGUUAUGGCGGGGACUCAUAGGAGACUGCCGGGGUCAACUCGGAGGAAGGUGGGGAUGACGUCAAAUCAUCAUGCCCCUUAUGUCUUGGGCUUCACGCAUGCUNCAAUGGCCGGUACAAAGGGCUGCGAUACCGUAAGGUGGAGCGAAUCCCAAAAAGCCGGUCUCAGUUCGGAUUGAGGUCUGCAACUCGACCUCAUGAAGUCGGAGUCGCUAGUAAUCGCAGAUGAG